rnacentral:tRNA from 1 species
GGAGACGUAUCGAAGUGGUCAUAACGGGGCGCACUCGAAAUGCGUUAGCCCUAACGGGCUCGAGAGUUCGAAUCUCUCCGUCUCCGCCA